CUAAAGCGACUGGCGAGGGCGAUGAAACCAUUUACUGCUUGCCGGUAGUAGAUACAUAGGAAACUGGGAUGGCGACCUCACCUGGAGCUCAACCUGCAGUACUUCCAAAACCAGGCGGCAGAUCCUCCUUUGUACGUCGUCCAGCGCAGCUUCCACUGGAGCUAAGACCCCGGAAGCUUCCCCGUCCGGCAGCAGGACCGAGACCGAAGAUCUGGACCAAAAAGUGUGACUUCAGGACCAAGGCCAAGGCUCGCAUGGCCCUCUAGGAUUCAUCCACUCUGGCGCCACCUUGUGAGGGGAGCUCUUAAAAGAGUAAAAAUUCCCCGCAUGUAUGUCUGUCCUCUCUGCACACCACCAAGAGCAUAACACUCAAGAUAAGCCAGGCCUGGUGGAGGCUGACGAAAGAACGACUGCUCUUCCGAAGGUCCUGAGUUCAAAUCUCAGCAACCACAUGGUGGCUCACAACUACCAGUAAUGAGAUCUGAUGCCUUCUU
rnacentral:lncRNA from 1 species